CUUCUUUAAAAAAAAAAAAAGAAGGCAUCUGACACAUCCUACGAAGAAAAGGAGGAUUCCCAAAGAUAUGAAAGAAAAAAAGGUGUGAAGUGGAUGGGCUGCUACACUGCCGAGAUCCCCACUUCAGGACUUAAUUCACCCGCUUGCUGGGAGUGAAAUGGGCUGACAGACCUCAGAUCAGUGUCUCUCCGGAGAUCACCUCAUAUGAAGAGAGCUGCCCUACCCAAGACCAUACGCCCUUCCCUCCAAGGACUGGUUACAACAGGCGGAUGAAAGCCCCAACAUUGGACGACCUAGAAGAGCCAUCUCAGCCUCGCAGCAUCCUGGAGGGUUGACUGGGGACUUCUUACAACGGCUUCCUUCCCUUCUUGUUUGUGACCACCGCCGAAAGCCGAUCCCAACAAUAGCAUCCCAGCACACACCGCACCCGCGCGCCUCCCCCACGUGCGCCUUCCAAUCAAGCUUCUCAAAGAGGUUUCAGCUGAAGCCCAUUCCAGCAGGCGGCGUUCCAGAGAGCAGGAACCGUCUCCACUCUUCC